UUUUAUAAAAUUCUUAUUAUUCAAUUGAAUUUUUUAUUUUGUUAAAAGAGAGCAAGGUGAAAAAUUGUGUUUAAUCCUUCAAAAAAUGUUUAUUUAUAUUUUUUAAAUGGAAAUUAAAAUUCCUUUUGAUUUAUUUUGAAAUAUUGAUGAUAUAUUUAAGAUUUUACAUGUAGCAAAUUUAUUUAUAGUCAUUUACUUACCAUCACAAACAUAUUACUGACUAAAUGUAUCAAACUAAAGCCAAUCACUUAAGAUGUUCUGCGAUUGAUGAAGUCCAAAGAGGGUGAAAUUGGGGCAAGGGGAGGUAAUAGUAAUGUUUAACUAAUCCUUCAGUGUAGGCAAUAACCAGACAUUUUGUUAAUCAACAUAAUUAAUGAUAUUUGUAUAUUUUUUUUACAUAUCAGAUGUUUGCUAAGCUAUUAUUUAGAGCUCUGUAAAUAAAAAAAAGUGUAAACAAAGUUCUAAAUAAUAGAUUUUUACCAGUGGUGGAACCUGGAUUUCUGAAAAGAGGGUUGUUGGGGGAGUAAUUCCAUAGAAGAGAAGAAUAUUUUUUUUGAUGAUUUUUUACUAAAAAUUGAUGUUUAUUCCAAUCAAAAGAGAGACAUACACCCUAUAAGCCACCCCCUGAAUCCACCACUGUUUGCUGUGGGAGAAAUUAUUUGGUCUCUACUAUUAUUGGGUAAAUUUUCAAAAAAUGUGAUCAGUUGAAAGUGCAUACAUCUGAUAUUUUUGAAGAACUGUAUUUCUAGAAAUAAAUGGAAAACAAAUACAUUGACAAGUGAUAAAAUGAACUGUUUUGAACAAAAAUAACCUGGGAGACUUUUAUGAACUAGUGUCUUAAAGUUUUGACAAAACUCAUAGAAGAGGAGGACAUUCAUUCACUGACAUUGAUACGGGGAAAGCCAUCUUGGCAGCCAGGAUAGCAGCUCUUUGGAAAUGGUCAAUAAAAUCAACCAAGUCUAAGGCUUUACCAGGAAAUGUUUGUGGUUAGCAUCACAGCUUGUCCUUAGGGGUACUGGCUGGGGUAGCAAUUGGAUAUGCUUCGAGGUGUGUUCCUGCUGCUGCCUUGUGUGGUCAAUCCUGUGGACAAUAAUAAUCAUAUAUUGCUUUUUUGUUUAAUAAGAUUAAUGAUAAUUCUGAAAGCCAAAUGAUUCUUUUUUUAAUGCUGUAAUUUUUUUCCAAUUCUGUAAAAUUCACAAUUUUUUUUAAUGCAGUUAUUUAUUUUCCAUUUACUGUAAAUUCACAAAUUUUUGUUUUUAAAUGCUGUUAUUUAUUUUCAUAUUACUGAAA